rnacentral:rRNA from 1 species
UACGAGAGGCCCAACCGUUAUUCGGAAUUACUGGGCUUAAAGAGUUCGUAGGCGGCAUGAAAAGUAGGGUGUGAAAGCCCUCGGCUCAACCGAGGAAUUGCGCUCUAAACUGUCGUGCUAGAGGAACCUAGAGGUGAGCAGAACUGAUGGUGGAGCGGUGAAAUGCGUUGAUAUCAUCAGGAAUACCGGAGGCGAAGGCGGCUCACUGGGGGUUUUCUGACGCUGAGGAGCGAAAGCGUGGGGAGCGAUCCGG